rnacentral:sRNA from 1 species
UUGCGCAAGUCAUAACUCAAUCAGCAAUAUUCGCAAUCCUCUGUCGCGCGUGCGGGCUUAUGCUUUCACCCAAGUUAAAUGACCCGGACGCAAGUCCACCCGGCCCGCCCAAUCAGGUGCGCCGAGCCGCCGACCCCACCGGGUCGCUACGGCCACCGGGUCCGCACUGCCCAACCAGGCGGGCGACACAGGCAGCGACACAAUCGCCAGCAGCGGACGAGAUAUCAAGGGAGGCCCAGGCCUCCCU